rnacentral:rRNA from 1 species
UGGGGAAUAUUGCGCAAUGGGGGAAACCCUGACGCAGCGACGCCGCGUGAAGGAAGAAGGCCUUCGGGUUGUAAACUUCUUUGAUCGGGGACGAAGGAAGACGGUACCCGAGGAACAAGCCACGGCUAACUACGUGCCAGCAGCCGCGGUAAUACGUAGGUGGCGAGCGUUGUCCGGAAUUACUGGGCGUAAAGGGCGUGUAGGCGGGGGGACAAGUCAGAUGUGAAAUACCGGGGCUUAACCUCGGGGGUGCAUCUGAAACUGGUGCUCUUGAGUGCCGGAGAGGAAAGCGGAAUUCCCAGUGUAGCGGUGAAAUGCGUAGAUAUUGGGAGGAACACCAGUGGCGAAGGCGGCUUUCUGGACGGUAACUGACGCUGAGGCGCGAAAGCGUGGGGAGCAAACAGG